rnacentral:lncRNA from 1 species
UAGACUCAGAAAAGCGUUUCAGUAGCUAAUUUAUGGAACCUUAGUAAACAUUUCAAUGAAUGUAAAGAAAAUGUAUCUAUUACAGAUGGACUGUCUGGAGAAUGUUUUGCUGUGGAGCCAAUGGGAAACCACUGAAGUUAACAGAAGAUCUUACCUCAUUGUAUUUGAUAUCUAAUUGAGAUGUCAGCUGGAGUUCCUAAUGAUCAGUUGUGAUCCAUGUUCAUGUGGGAAAACAAAGAAAAUAGAAAUCUGGGAAACGAAUCUCCCCGUCCUUUUUCAUCCUGAUUGUGUGAAAUAUUGUCUAACUAAGCACACAGUUGGAGAGAGAAACUGGUGAGGCGUGACGCCAGUGCCAGACAAACACCAGCUUUUGAAACCCGUGGCAUCUUUUGCACGCUACAGCUGACUCGGCUUUAGCGCCGCUUCCUGCUUAAAGCUAUGACCCAGAGAAAAGCAGGAAAACUGCAGCGGAGAAGAAACUUGGUGUACGAAAUCCACCAGCUGCAAAGUCUCGAUGAUCAACUCACUUCCGUAACUAGCAGUAACAAGUAAGCGUCUGUUUUCAGAGAUAAGGUCCGCGUACCUAGGCUGUGCAGCACGGCGCCGCCAGGUAACGAACCGCC